GCCAGGCAUUUACAUAGAGGUAGCCAACACUGUUCCUCCUACAGAUAAGGAGUCAGCAUCUUUUCCAUGCCUCAAGACCCACUGCAGGGGCCAUGCAACCACUGACAUAGGAACAAGGCAAGUCUCAUAUAUCAUAUCACCAUUUCAGGAUUUUACCCUCCUGGUGCCUAACCCUCAGUUCCCUUUCUUGAUACAUAUAGGCAGGACGAUGCAAUCAUUCCUCCCCAAUUCAUCUUUGAUUUUAUCAGGUCCCUGUUCGGGUGCCAACAGUUUUGUGACAGAUUUUUUUCUGGGGAGACACAGACACAUCUAUUCCCCCCAUCCAACAAAAAAAGAAGCUCACAAGAGACCAAAGUAACAAAUGCAUCAGUGACCCACUUGGCGGACCAGUGGUUAUUUUUUUGUGAUUACUGACAGCAUGGGUGAGAAGUUGCUUACAGGGUCAUCACACCAUUGUAACUGUGACUUCAAAGCCUUCACUCACUCACAGACCUUCCUGGUCCCCAGUGCUGGUGACAGUCUCCAUGUUCCCUGAGGUCUUCAUGUCUAUUCGAGUACAGGGAAAGCCUCUGGCUUUUUAUCAGCCUAACUCCAAAUGAAGUAGGAUAUAAUAAGGCCCCCUUAGUGCAUAGCAUUCUCAGUUCUCCGUGAUAUAAGGCCUAGGUUCCUUAGAACAGGACAACAAGCAAGUCUUCUGUGACUAAGCUGUUGUGCCAACCCCCUACUCAUUUCUUGCCACUUAUUCCAAAGGCAUUCCAGAUUAUUAAUCUUUCUUCAAAGAUGCUGAGUAAUUGUGACCUUUCAAUUUUUCCUACUUCCGGUCCAUCUGCCUGAAAAGCUGCUCCAGCAUGCUGGGGAGCAGAGGAAGCUUUCCCUCUCUGGAGUAACCAAGAUGCCCCAAGCAACACUGAUGCCACAGCGUUGUGGCCCACAGAGCAGUGCACAAAGAAUCAUUAUGAGCAUAUCCUGAUGUGUCUUACCUGUGUGUGCCUGUGUUUUCCUCUACUGAUCCAUAGCAUGGACUUCACAUGCCCUGUGCAUAUCAUGCAUCUAAUCUUCAUAUCUGCACAAGCAAUUAUUGCAGACUUUCCAUAGGGGUUUUUGUCUUUUAAUGCUAAAAUGGAUGGACACAAAAUUACUGAUUUGGAGAUGUUUAUUCAAAUAAUUACUUUGAAUAUUUAUUCUUAGAUUUCUUUCUUUUAUCACUAUAGCUACUACCUUCACAUUUUCCUCUAAAAUUUUUUCACAUAUGUUUUUUGGUUUACGGGGAUUGUUGUUGUUGUUGUUGUUGUUGUUGCUGCUGCUGCUGCUACUGCUGCUGUUUUGGACAUGGUUUUGUUAUAUAAAUCAAGAGCAGCCUGAAAGUCAUGACCACCAUACCUAAAUAUUAACCUUUUGUUACUCUAACUGUGCCAAACUACUGCACUUUCACUAAACUUUUAAUAAAGUCUAUGAUGUAGGAGCUU
ensembl:processed_transcript Gm26974 predicted gene, 26974